CCGGUAAGGUGAUAUGAACCGUUAUAACCGGCGAUACCCGAAUGGGGAAACCCAGUGUGAUUCGUCACACUAUCAUUAACUGAAUCCAUAGGUUAAUGAGGCGAACCGGGGGAACUGAAACAUCUAAGUACCCCGAGGAAAAGAAAUCAACCGAGAUUCCCCCAGUAGCGGCGAGCGAACGGGGAGGAGCCCAGAGCCUGAAUCAGCAUGUGUGUUAGUGGAAGCGUCUGGAAAGGCGCGCGAUACAGGGUGACAGCCCCGUACACAAAAGCGCAUGUGCUGUGAGCUCGAUGAGUAGGGCGGGACACGUGGUAUCCUGUCUGAAUAUGGGGGGACCAUCCUCCAAGGCUAAAUACUCCUGACUGACCGAUAGUGAACCAGUACCGUGAGGGAAAGGCGAAAAGAACCCCGGCGAGGGGAGUGAAAAAGAACCUGAAACCGUGUACGUACAAGCAGUGGGAGCCCCACCACUAAGCCAGUGGUGAACUCCACAUACGCAUCCUUUGCUGAGGAUACGGUUAACGGAGCGAAAGCGACGUUCAACCGCAAAAGAAGCAGAGGGGGCUUAGUGGUGG
rnacentral:rRNA from 1 species